rnacentral:lncRNA from 1 species
GGUUUCAGGGCAAAGCUGCCAUGAGUCCGGCCAGCCGCGGGCGGUCUCGGCAGCGGCUCGGGGAUCGCGGCCUCAUGAAACCACCCUCACUUUCCAAGCGCCGUCUUCUGCCGCGGGUGCAGCUCCUGCCCCUGCUGCUGCUGGCGCUGGCCCUGGGCUUGGCUUUUUAUAUCGUCUGGAAUAGCUGGCACCCUGGGGUUGAGGAGGUAUCACGGAGCCGGGAUCUGCGGGUAAGCCUUGGCUGGGGCCCAGCCAGCGUCAUUUCCCUCUUUCCCUUCAUAUUGAGUCUCGGGUUAGCGUGGCCUUAUCGUUUAGCCCUUGCCGCCUGUGCUAUUUCUUUAUCCAUCACUUGAGCGUAUGCCCCUUCCCAACAAAAUAAGGUUUCAGGCUUGUUUUAUGAUUAGACCCCUCUGAAGAGGAUGCAUCCGCAUAGAAACACUGGUAGAUCUGAGCUCUGUGCCCAAACCAUUUAUUUAGAAGUCUCCAUCACCCGUUUGCAAUUUCUUCGUCAGGACU